UUUCAGGUCUUUAACACAAGCCACGUGGGAGUCUCCUCAGCCUCCACAACUUCCCAUCUCAUUUCCUUUUCCGGUAUGAAGACACAGGACACAGAAAGAGAGAGACAAAAUUAGCCAUGUAGAGAGAGCAGAGCGACGGUGAUGGAGGAACGGGCAGUGGUCUCCGUCCGGCCACCGACCGGUGGUUUUGACGCAGCAAACAACGGCAGAAGGCGGUGGUGCUUGAGGGUUCCGCUGUAAACAGUGUUUGUUUCCAUGGUUUGUUCUGAUUGGACUAUUUGGCGGUUAUCCCCACUUCAAACAGUUGUGUUCCAGAUCCACACCUUACCCUCUUUAGAGGAAAAUGUGCACCUCAGAAGAGGAGAACGAGAUGAGUGAGGGCGGUGGGUGGGUGCAGAUUUUAGAGAGAGGAAGAGAUGGGAGCAGCUUCCUCCGACACCACGGCGGCCAGUUUGUUGUUCGGUAAGUGGAGGAUGCUAUGUGUAGGUGGAGAGAGAAAGCUGGGAGGAGCAGCGUCAUCCCUGGUGGUGGGGCCUUGACGGCUGCCAGGUGCAUUUCGACGCCUGGUUCUCUCUUCCGCCCUCUCUCUUUCAUCGAUGCCGCCUCCUGAGGUCUUUUCUUCCGGUCUUUCUCUCUCUCUCUCUCAUCACCUACUGUGUUUACCAGAGGUUACCGACCAGGGGUAUUUUUGUCAUAUGUUGAAACCUUAGAAGGCCAUAUGCCUUAGAAGGCCAUAUGCCUUAGAAGGCCAUAUGACCUGUGGUCUACUUGCCAACCACCGCUCCUGGUUGGCGCACGAUGGCGAUGGUUUUGUGUGUCUAUAUGAUUCAAGUGUUUUACCUCUUUGUCGUUAAUUUUCUUAUGGAUUUUGGUUUCUUGGCUAUGAUCUAUAUGUGAGCCUACUUAAUCGAUGUUUUUUAGCAGUUUUUGUGAUCUAAUUACGGUAUUUUGCUAUAGUUUUGUUGGUUGGCUGUGGUAAUCGAUGGUUCUGUCAUUCGGCUAUGAUUAUCUCAAAAGUCUUUUUCCAGUUGAUUUUGGCAUGGCAAUGAAUUGAAUGCUUCGUACCAAUGCCAAACACAGCUGGACAUAUACUCUCCUGGGCGGGCACAGAGGUUAGCGGCUGCUAUCGGGAUUUCAGAAGGGAUUCAGCCCAAACAACCUUAAAAUAAAUAACUGAUGCUUUGUUGGAUCAAAGUUUUAGGGUGAAGAUCAGUGGCUACAUUCUUCCUUUGCAAGCAGAAUCUAAGGUAGCUGGACAUUCGAUCACCAAAUCAAGUGAAACUCUUAGCAAAAGGUUUGACAUUCAGGAUAAUGAUCAUGACCAUGUAUAUGACUUGGGAGCUA